rnacentral:rRNA from 1 species
GACGAACGCUGGCGGCGUGCCUAAUACAUGCAAGUCGAACGGUCUUUUCUAUGGAAGCUUGCUUCCACUGAGAAGAUAGUGGCGAACGGGUGAGUAACACGUGGGUAACCUGCCCAUAAGAGGGGGAUAACAUCCGGAAACGGGUGCUAAUACCGCAUAGGUUUCUUGGUCGCAUGAUCGAGAAAGGAAAGACGGCCUUUGUGCUGUCGCUUAUGGAUGGACCCGCGGCGUAUUAGUUAGUUGGUGAGGUAACGGCUCACCAAGACGAUGAUACGUAGCCGACCUGAGAGGGUGAUCGGCCACAUUAGGACUGAGACACGGCCCAAACUCCGACGGGAGGCAGCAGUAGGGAAUCUUCCGCAAUGGACGAAAGUCUGACGGAGCAACGCCGCGUGAGUGAAGAAGGUUUUCGGAUCGUAAAACUCUGUUGUCAGAGAAGAACAAGUCGGAGAGUAACUGCUCCGGCCUUGACGGUAUCUGACCAGAAAGCCACGGCUAACUACGUGCCAGCCGCCGCAGUAAAAC